CAGUAGCCGCGGUAAUACGAAGGGUGCAAGCGUUACUCGGAAUUACUGGGCGUAAAGCGUGCGUAGGUGGUGGUUUAAGUCCGUUGUGAAAGCCCUGGGCUCAACCUGGGAAUUGCAGUGGAUACUGGGUCACUAGAGUGUGGUAGAGGAUAGUGGAAUUUCCGGUGUAGCAGUGAAGUGCGUAGAGAUCGGAAGGAACAUCUGUGGCGAAGGCGACUAUCUGGGCCAACACUGACACUGAGGCACGAAAGCGUGGGGAGCAAACAGGAUUAGAUACCCGCGUAGUCCCUGUCUCUUAUAC
rnacentral:rRNA from 1 species